AUGGCUAGCGGAUUAGGGGGCAGUUUGGUUGCCGUCCUGGCUAACGUGCCUGAUAAAUUCAAAUGCCUGGCUCGGGCUUGGGAAACAACAAUUUUAUGCCUGGCCAGGCAGGCCCUGUUUGGUUCGCCUCCAUGCCUGCAUCUAUUUAGAUCAAGGAGUGCUACAGCUACUUUAGUGGCAAAGGUAAUUUGGAGUGGUGGAACUUCUCUAUUGGAUGAUUUGCUUUCUCCCGUUACUUAUCUAUCUAAAUCAGGUCCUGACGAUGCUGAGUUGGCCGCCUUCAUUUUAAAGUGGAUUUCAGAUUUCAGAGGUGGCCUAUGUGAAGCAGAUUUACCUGAACUAGAUGAGUUUCUCACAAAUGUCAUGCUUCUCCUUUCGUCAUUGAUCGAGAAACAUUCUGAAUCAAUUAUUGCUGAACGCCCUGACGAGCUCAUGGUAUCAACUGAAAAGGAUGUCUUGACGGUAACUUCUUGCUUGCUUGCUGCAAAUGCGUAUGCGGAGUGGGUUCCAGUGGUUCACCUUGUCAAACAUGGUUUAGUUAAAAGAUGCGAGUCCUUACUUCAUCUCAGUAGAUUCCAAACAUAUGCUUUGAAGUUUUUCAAAAUUCUGUGCCAAAGAAGAAGGCCUCUUACUGUCGCAAAGGAUUAUGAUGAUGCAAUGAGCCAUGUUUUUGAGAUAUUGAUGAGCAUUUCACAAGAUUCUUUGACCAAAGUCGCAGCAUGCUCUGAUUUUAGUAGUGAAAGGGAGCUCAACGUUGCCGAGGGUAUCUGCGACUGUUUGUUUACUCUGGUUUCAUCCAACAUGCAAUGUAUUAUUGCAGAUACCAUUAAGACCUCCUGUUUCCUUCGACAGAUGCUGGAAUAUUACCAACAUUACAAGAUUGCACUUCAUUUUCAGUCCUUACCAUUUUGGCUGUACUAUCACGUGACCAUGCCAGAAUUUUCUGAUCUCUCUCGCUCCCCCUCUGUUUUUUUGCUAGUAGUUGCUAGUACUACUCACGUGAGCAUGCCGGAACUUUCUAGACAGAGAUGGGAGAAUCACGCGUGCGUACAAGCCUGUUCAGAGAGGGGCAUGCUGCAGCACAUUGCCGGGGCCACCGCAAGUUCCUGCACUAUGAACCGUUUGAUUACUCUAUCCAAUGGUGUAGUUGUAGCCACGUUGUCCUUUAGCUAA
rnacentral:rRNA from 1 species